rnacentral:rRNA from 1 species
GACGUGGGGUGCGAGCGUUAUCCGGAUUUACUGGGCGUAAAGAGUUCGUAGGCGCCCCGUUAAGUUUUGCUUGAAAUUCCGAGGCUUAACUUCGGAACUGGGCGAAAAACUAACGGGGUGGAGUUAGCUAGGGGGUACUGGAACUCGUAGUGUAGCAGUGAAAUGCGUUGAUAUUACGAGGAACACCAAGGGCGAAGGCAGGUACCUGGGGCUUAACUGACGCUGAGGAACGAAAGCUAGGGGAG